rnacentral:rRNA from 1 species
AACGAACGCUGGCGGCAGGCUUAACACAUGCAAGUCGAGCGCCCCGCAAGGGGAGCGGCAGACGGGUGAGUAACGCGUGGGAACGUACCCUUUGCUACGGAAUAGCUCCGGGACACUGGAAUUAAUACCGUAUGUGCCCUACGGGGGGAAGAUUUAUCGGCAAAGGAUCGGCCCGCGUUGGAUUAGCUAGUUGGUGGGGUAAUGGCCUACCAAGGCGACGAGCCAUAGCUGGUCUGAGAGGAUGAUCAGCCACAUUGGGACUGAGACACGGCCCAAACUCCGACGGGAGGCAGCAGUGGGGAAUAUUGGACAAUGGGCGCAAGCCUGAUCCAGCCAUGCCGCGUGAGUGAUGAAGGCCUUAGGGUUGUAAAGCUCUUUCACCGGAGAAGAUAAUGACGGUAUCCGGAGAAGAAGCCCCGGCUAACUUCGUGCCAGCCGCCGCCGUAAAAC